AUGAGUUAAGUACUUAGUAUAUUUCAUUUACAAUGAUAAGGACUAUUAAUUAGAAUUCAUUAAUAUAUUUUACAAAAAAAUUAUUUUAAGUUUUUUACCUUUUGCAUAAUGGUUUAAUAAUAAUAGUAAUUUUACUUUUCCCGAAUUUAGAAGAUCUAAUUUAUUAGAAAAAAUUUAUUAAUGUUUCAAAAUUACAACUUAAAAUAAAUUAGGGGUGAAAGGCUUAUCAAUUCUAAGGAUAUCUGGAAUAAUUUUAAAUGUAUUUAGUACAAAAUUAAAUUUGAAUAAUAAAAUGUUAAUUUUUUUAAAAAGAAUUUUAAUUAAAUAAUUAUGAAUUAAUCUUCAAUUAAUCUAAUCAAAAUUUUUUAUUAAUUAUAUCUUUUAAGUAAAAUUAUAUUAUUAAAAACUUAUUAAUUAAUAAUGUUAAAAUUAGUAUAAUUCAAUUUUUAUUUAAGGAACUCGGCUUUCAUCUGUUUAUCAAAAACAUAGUCUUAUGUAAAUAUAAGGUGAAACCUGCCCACUGAAUUUUAACGGCCGCAGUACUUUGACUGUGCUAAGGUAGCAUAAUAAAUUGACUUUUAAUUGGGGCCUUGAAUGAAAGGAAUAAUGGAUAAUUACUGUCUCAAAUAAAUAAAUUAUAAGUUACUUAGAAGGUGAAAAUUCCUUCAAAAUAAUAAAAUAGACGAGAAGACCCUAGGAGUUAUUUUGUUGGGGCGACAAUAUAGCAUAACCUAUAAUAAUUAAAAAACAAAAUAUUUUAAUAAUAAUUUAACUACCCUAGGGAUAACAGCAUAAUUUAUUUUAAGUUUGUGACCUCGAUGUUGGACUAGGAACUUUUAAAGCUAACAGCGUUAA
rnacentral:rRNA from 1 species